UUUGCAAGAUGAAAAUGUUCAACAAUAAUGUGGUUGUACAACAGUGUGAAAGUACUUAACACUACUGAUAUGUACUCUUAAAAAUGGUUAAGACUUCUGGGCAUAGUCGCUUACACCUGUAAUCCUUGUACUUUGGGAGGCCAAGGUGGGUGAAUCCCUUGAGGCCAAGAGUUUAAGACUAGCCUGGGCAACAUGGUGAAAUCCUGUUCCUACUGAAAAUACAAAACUUGGCCGGUUAUGGUGGUGUGUGCUUGUAGUCCCAGCUACUCAAGAGGCUGAGGUCUGAGAAUCACUUGAACGUGGGAGGCGGGUGGGUGCAGGGAGCCAAGAUGGUGCCACUGUGCUCUAUCCUGGGUGACUGAGGGAGACUGUCUCAAAAAAAACAACAAAAAAAACAAAAGUUAAGACACACGAGGCAUGGUGGCUCAUACCUGUAACCCCAGGACUUUGGGAGGCUGAGGCAAGAGGAUUGCUUGAGCCCAGGAGUUGAAGACCAACCUGACAACAGAGCAAGACUCCUGUUUCUACCAAUAAAAAUUGUUUAGGCCAAGAGCGGUGGCUCACGCCUGUAAUCCCAGAACUUUGGGAGGCCAAGCCAGGUGGAUCAUGUGAGGUCAGGAGUUUGAAACCAGCCUUACCAUCGUGGUGAAACCUUAUCUCUGUUAAAUACAAAAUAUUAGCCAGACAUGGUGACAGGUGCCUGUAAUCCCAGCUGCUUGGGAGGCUGAGGCGGGAGAGUCACUUGAACCCGGGAGGUGGAGGUUGCAGUGAGCCGAGAUCACGCCACUGCACUCCAGCCUAGGAAACAGAACAAAGUGAGACUCUACCUCAGAAAAAUAAAAAUAAAAUAAUAGUAGAUUAACUGAGCAUGUUGAUGAGCACCUGUAGUCCCAGCUACUUGGGUGACUGAAGUGGGAGAAUAGCUUGAGCCCUAGAGUUAGAGGCUUCAGUGAGCUAUGAUCCCACCACUGCACUUCAGCCUGGGUAACAGUCUCAAAAAGGAAAAAAAUGGUUAGCAUGGUAAAUUUUAUGUUGUGUAUAUUUUACUGCAGUUAAAAAAAUAAAGACCUCCUGGUGCUUUGGCAUUGGAUCAAAAAGGCCUUGGAUGUCUGUAAAAUUCACGUUAGUAUGUGCCUUGAUUCACUAUGAUGCAGAAUCGAUUAGACUCUUCUGUGUUUUUUACUUUAUCCCUUUUGAUCAUUGUAGCACCUCUUUGUCUAUUUUAUCCAUAUACAUUGUUGCGUGAGUUGUUUGCUUUCUCUAUCAAUCUAUCCACAAGAUCUCUGAAGAGAUCAGGUCCAAGCUUUGGCCCAGCACACACAUUCUAGAAACGUCUUGCCAGAGAAACAGUCAUUCUCCUCUCAGGGAAGGUUGUUCGAAGGCCAGCAGCAGGUGGGAAAAUAGAAGGGAAACGUGGAAAUCAAGUGUACAUUAAGAAUUGCCUUAGAGUAGACUUGCACACACAGCUGAAAAAUGAAAAUCAGACUUGAUUGCCCGAUGUAAUUUUCUCUUUUCCCAUUUAUAUGCAUACUUAGGAUAAACAGUUAUUGAGACCACCUGUGCCCAACACACUAUGCCAGCAGAAAUUGUUGCCUUCAGUGAGCUCUUGUUAAAAAGCAGGUGUUUGAGAGCCUGACCAUACUAAGAAUUGGAAACCCGAAGAGAGACCGUGUUAAAAACUCAGGUUUUCAGCAGCCACUCGAGACCUCAAGACUGGGCUAUUUAUUCCUCAGGCAGCAGGAAUUCUGCGUGGCUCUAUAAACCAUUACACAUGGGGUGUUUGCUUGAGGGCACUAGGAUGAUGCCUGGUAUUUGAAUCAGAGCAUACUUGCUGUGCCUCACACAUAGCAGGGAGUUCAUAGUGGAUGAGCAGAUCAUGAAUGGCUUGAGAAAAGCCAUCGGAUAUUAUCAGUUGAAGCCUCAGACACAAAUCUUGAUGUAGCAUCCCAUGUGAAAAACACCAUGUGCCAAACCCUGUGACACAGACAUGGGACUUUCCUAGCCUGCCAGGCACUAAGGAAGGGGACAACCCAGUGCGGCCAAGCCAGGAAGUCAAUGAGAGGCAAACAUAGCAUGGUCUAGGAUUUAAACAAACCUCUUAGUGAUCUCCUUGGCUUAGACUCUAGAAUGCAGGAUAGUUCUUUGUCCUGCCUUAGGCUGGCAGCCUUGUCUUUCUGCUUGGCAGUUUGGGAACUCAGAGUUUUUUCUCUCACCUCUGGCAGCUCUCAGACUUCAUGAAUAAUGAGAAGGCAGGCAGGAACUGAAUCAAGCUCAAGGCUGCUCUUGGGCAAAUUCCUCAGGCCCUUGGUGUGGAAUAAAGUGGGGGAUUUACAAGGACAAGUAAAAGAGAAAAUCAGCAGCACAGGCUUCUGAUGAAACAGGUGGUCAAAAUGCUCAGAGAAUUACAAUCCCCACAAAAACACAAAGUAGAACUUCCGGAAUAGGUUUAAUUAUCUGUUUAUUCAUUAGACUUUUAUUUCAGAUUUCUACUUUACAGGCCCAGCCUGAUAGGGGAGGAAGAGGGGAGCUCAGGAAGUUCCUGCACUGGAGGAGCUAAGUAAACGCCAGACCUGUGAUGGGCACGUGCUUUGCUUACAUGGUCUGAUUCUCACAACCAUCCUAGAAAAGAGCUUUUACUCUCCCAGUUUCAUAAAUUGUGGAACAGAUGGUUGGAGAGGAUGAAUAUCUUGCUCAAGGUCAAAGAGCUAAUAACCGGGUAUUCCCUAGAACACGAAGGGGUCAGGAUGCAACGCCUCCAGGGCACUUGAGCUCUCCUUCCCACUCUCCACUUGUCAUUUCAUCUGUCUGUCGGCUUCAUCCUUCCUGACUGCCAGCAGGUUUUCUUCAAGUGUUAGGCUACAGUUAUGUGGAGUGUCCUGAGGUCAUACAGGAACUGACCCUGCCCUACAAGCUCGGAAUUCCAGGGAAGGCCUCACCCUGGCCUGCCCUCAUGUACACACCUGUGGGGAGGGGAGAACUGGUUACUGUGACUUACAGGCCCAUCAGAACCCCACAGAUUGGGGAAGCAGUCAUUCCCCAAAGAAAUGGAUUUGGGGAGUUGUUAUAACACAAGGAAACACAGGAACUUUUAUAGGACAGAAUGGCAAAGUGGGGUUAAGUCUGGUAGGUUACUUGCUGCCAGUGCUUAUCUCUGUUGUCUCAAAGGGGACAGCCAUUUAUAUAGGUCUCAGGCAGCUGCAGAAAAGGGGAGUCUAAGCCACUCUGCUAGACUUAACAGGGACCGUCUUCCUGGCUGUCACCUGACUGGAGGGGAGAAUGCCUGCAGCCUCAAAUCUUUUGCUCACAGGAGCCCAGACCCAACACUGUUCUGUGCCCUGGAAACUUAGGAAGAUGUUUUAUUAUUUAAAUCAAAUAAUGUAGGGUAGACUGGGUUCAGAAUGAGAGGCUUCAAACAUUUUUUACUUUGAAAAUAAGUACUAAAAAUAGGCAGUUACCAAAAUGCCAGUAACAAUCUAGCAUUAGUACCUGCCCCAAGGUCCAGACCAUAGUGGCCACCUUGUGGGCUUUGGGGAGGUCCAAGGCCAGAAGCUCAUUCAAUGUCUGCUCCAAGUAGUGAGUGUGUCCACCCGGGCCCUGGCAAGACCACAAACCUACCUGUCCCUGUCCUGUGCUUCCAGGAACACAAAGAGCUCUUUGGCCUCAUCUUGUCUACUUCUUUGAUCCUCAAGGAAGCCAUGAGCUCAAAUAGAAUUUAAAUGUAAACUGUCUAUUUGUGGUAAUGAUAGAAAAAUAACUAUUUUUAAAGCUUGUUAGCUCUUUAGCAUGUUGAAGCUCUAGGGUUUCAGAGAAAUGAACUUGACAAGCAGGAGUUAAAUGAAGCCCAAGGUCAAGUUUCUCCUUACAUUUUGUACUUGUACAGUCUCAGUGCUGAGUAGCAACUUGAUCUCUAGUGUCCUAAGAGAUUUAAUGGAUUACACAUGAGAGCUCAUUUGGCGUUUGGGUUUAUUAUAUGUGUGUAUAAAUGCCUCAAACAUGUUUCUCUCGUGGGAGUUGCAACCAUCCAUCCCUGCCCACUGGUUUUCACUUUCCUCUCUGGCUACAACCCACCACAAAUAGUACAUGUGUUAGUCUUUCUUGGUUUAUUUUCUGAGCUUUUGGCAUUAAAAUAAACUGUGAUAAAAUACACUUAACAAAAUGUACUUAACCUUUUUAAGUAUACAGUUCAGUAGCAUUAGGGACAUUCACGUUUUGCAACCAAUCUCCAAAACAUUUUUAUCUUGCAAAACUGACUCUAUACCCACUAAACAGCUCCCCAGUCCCCACUGCUCCUCUCCCUUGGCAACCAUCAUUCUCCUUUCCGUGUCUGUGAAUAUGACUUCUCUAAAUACCUCAUAUAAAUGGAAUCAUAUUUGUCUUUUUGUGGCUUAUUUCACUUGAAAUACUGUCCUCAAGGUUUAUCCAUGUUGUAACACAUGUCAAAAUUUCCUUUCUUUUUAAAGCUGAGUAUACAUAAAGAAAAUGUAUGCACCACAUUUUCUUUAUCCAUUUGUGUGUUAGGGCACUUGGGUUGCUUCCACUUCUUAAUUAUUGAGAAUAAUGCUUCUCUGAAUGGGUGUACAGAUAUCUCUCUGAGACCCUGCUCUCAAUUCUUCUGGUUAUAUACCCAGAAGUGGGAUUGCGGAUCAUAUGCUAGUACUAUUUUUAAUUCCUUGAGGAAACCACAUUGUUUUCCGUAGUGGUUGCAUCAUUUUUACAUUCCCACCGGUAGUGCACAAGGGUUCCAAUUUCUCCACACCUCAACACCACCUACCAUUUUGUUUUGUUUGUAUAGUAACCAUCCUCAUGGGUGUAAGGUGGUAUCUCAUGAUUUUGAUUUGCAUUUUCCGAAUGAUUAAUGAUGUUGAGCCUCUUUUCAUUUGUUUAUUUGCCAACUGUAUAUCUUCAAAGAAAUGUCUAUUCAAGUCCUUUGCCCAUUUUUACAUCAAAUUUUCGUUGUUGUUGAGUUGUAGGAGUUAUUUAUCUUUUCUAACAGUAACUCCUCAUCAGACAUAUGAUUUGCAAAUACAUUUUCACAUUCCAUAGGUGUGGGGAUCGCUCCUGCGAAGGCCCCUUGACAGGACAUAGGUUACCUUUUCACUUGAUUAAUGGUGUUCUUUGAUGCACAGAAGUUUUAAAUUUUUUGGUGGUGCAGGAGGCCAAGGUGGGCAAAUCAGUUGAGGUCAGGAGUUCAAGACCAGCCUGGUCAAUGUGGUGAACUCCAUCUCUACUAAAAAGACAAAAAAUUAGCUGGGCAUGGUGGCAGGCACCUGUAAUCCCAGCUACUUGGGAGGCUGAGGCAGAAGAAUUGCUUGAACCUGGGAGGCAGAGAUGGCAGUGAGCCAAGAUCACGCCACUACACUCCAGCCUGGGUGACAGAGGGAACUCUGUCUCAAGAACAAACAAACAAAAACCAACAAAAAAUUAAGGUAGUCCAAUUUCUAUAUUAUUACUUUAGUUGCCAGUGUUUUUGGUAUCAUAUCCAAGAAAUCAUUGCUAAAUCCAAUAUCAAGAAGUUUUUCUGGGCUGGGCGCGUGGCUCACACCUGUAAUCCCAGCACUUUGGGAGAGUGAGGCGAGUGGAUCACGAGGUCAGGAGUUUGAGACCAGCCUGACCAACAUGGUGAAACCUCAUCUCUACUAAAAAUACAAAAAUUAGCUGGGCGUAGUGGCAUGUGCCUGUAAUCCAAGCUACUGAGGAGGCUAAGGCAGGAGAAUUGCCUGAACCUGGGAGGCAGAGGUUGCAGUGAACCAAGAUCAUGCCACUGCACUCCAGCCUGGGCAGCAGAGUGAGACUUCAUCUCAAAAAAAAAAAAAAAAGUUUUUCCCUCUCUGUUUUUUUCUAGGAGUUUUAUAGUUUUAGGUCUUAUGUUUCGGUCUUUAAUCCACUUUAAUUUUUAUAUUUGGUAUAAGGUAAAAAUUUGACUUUAUUCUUUUCUAUGUGAAGAUCUAAUUUACCCAGCACCAUUUGUUGGGGUAAAGAAACAAAACUGUCCUUUCUCCAUGGAGUGGUCCUUGCACCCUUGGCAAACAUCAUUUGACCACACAUAGGAGGAUUUAUUUUUGGACUCUCUAUUCUGUUAGUUUGUAUGUUUGUCUUUAUGCCAGUACCAUACUGUUUUGAUUACUGUAGAUUUGUAAUAUGUUUUAAAAUUAGAAAGGAUGAAACUUACAACCUUUUUGUCUUCCAACAUUUGUCUUUAUCAAGAUUAUUUUCAUUCUUCAGGAUCCCUUGAAUUUCUAUAUGAAUUUUAGAAUGGGUUAGUUUUUUUUCCUGCAAAAAAAUGCCAUUAGAUUUUUAAAAUAUUUUUUAUUUUUGUUUGUAGAGAGGGGGUCUCAUUAUGUUGCUGAGGCUGGUCUCAAACUCCUGGCCUCAUAUAAUCCUCCCUCGGGCUCCCAAAGAUCUGAGAUUACAGGCAUGAGCUCCCACACCCAGCCACCAUUAGGAUUUUGAUAGCAAUUGCAUUAAGUCUGAGAUUGCUUUGGGUAGUAUCAGCAGUUAAACAACAGUAAGUCUUCCAAUCCAAGAAUGCAGUAUGUCUUUUCAUGUACAGAUGUCAUCAUUAAUUUCUUUCAGUAACAUUCUGUAGUUUUCAAUAUAUAUGUCUUUUGCCUCCUUGGUUAAAUUUACUCUUAAGGUUUUCUUUUUUUUUUUUUUUUCUGAUCCUAAUGCAAACAAUUGUUUUCUUAAUUUCCUUUUCAGGUUUUUAUCAUUAUAGAAACACAACUGAUUUUUUGCCUGUUGAUUUUUGAACCUUGCAAUCUUGCUGAAUUUAUUAGUUCUGACAGGUUUUUGUUGUUGUCAGAACUAAUGGAAUAAUUAGGAUUUUCUACAUAUAGGAUCAUGUUGUCUGUGAAGAGAGAUCAUUUUACACUUCUUUCCCAGUCUGGAUGCCUUUUAUUUCUUUUUCUUGACUAAUUGCUCUGGCUAAGACCUUCAGUAUUUUGUUCAGUAGAAAGUGUGAAAGUAGCUGGGCACGGUGGCUCAAGCCUGUUAUCCCAGCACUUUGGGAGGCCAAGGCAGGUGGAUCACGAGGUCAAGAGAUCAAGAUCAUCCUGGUCAACAUGGUGAAACCCCGUCUCUACUAAAAAUACAAAAAAUUAGCUGGGCAUGGUGGUACGUGCCUGUAAUCCCAGCUACUCAGGAGGCUGAGGCAGGAGAAUUGCCUGAACCCAGGAGGCGGAGGUUGCGGUGAGCCGAGAUCGCGCCAUCGCACUCCAGCCUGAGUAACAAGAGUGAAACUCUGUCUCAAAAAAAAAAAGAAAGAAAGUGUGAAAGUACAUAACCAUGUCUUGUGUCUUGUUCCUGAUCAUGGAGGAAAAGCUCAGUCUUUCACCAUUGAGUAUGAUGAUGUCUGCUGUGAGCUUCUCAUAUAUGGCAUUUAUUAUAGUGAGGUAAUUUUCUUCUCCUAGUUGCUUGAGUGUUUUUAUUUGAAAGGGUGUUGAACUUUCUUAGAUUUCUUUUUUUUUUGCAUCACUUAAAAUGAUUAUGUGGGUUUUUCUGUCAUUCUAUAAAUGUGUCCUUAUGUUGAAUGAUUUUUAUAUAUCAAACCAUUCUUGUAUUUCAGGAAUAAAUCCCACUUGGCCAUGGUGUAUAAUCCUUUUAAUGUGCUGUUGAAAUUGAUUUACUAGCAUUUUGUUGAGGAUUUUGCAUUGCUUUUUACUUGCUGCUUUUAAGAUUUCUUUGUCUUCGCCUUUUGAUCAUAAUGUUUCUCAGUGUGGGUCUCUUACUUAUUAAUUGAGCCUCUCAUAUUUAUAUUUCCAUUUCAUUCCUCAAAGCUGGGACAUUUACAGACAUUAUAUUUUUCAAAUAAGCUAUUUCUCCUUUCUUCUGUUUGAGACCCUCAUAAUGUAUAUAUUGGUUAGCUUGAUAGUGUCUCUUAAGUACCUUAGGAACUGUUCACUUUUCUUUAUUCUUUUUGUUCCUGACUCAGUACUUUCAAAUGUCCUGUCUUCAAGUUUGCUGAUUCUCUUCUGCUUCAUUGAGUUUGUGAUUGAAUCCUUCUAGAGAAUUUUUCAAUUCAACUAUGACAUUUUUCAGCUCUAAAAUCUAGCUUUUAAAAAUAUUUCCCAGCCGAGUACAGUAGUUUACACCUGUAAUCCCAGCACUUUGGGAGGUUGAGGCGGGCAGAUCAUAAGGUCAAGAGAUUGAGACCAUCCUGGCCAACAUGGUGAAACCCUGUCUCUACUAAAAAUACAAAAAAAAAUUAGCUGGGUGUGGUGGUGUGUGCCUGUUGUCCCAGCUACUCGGGAGGCUAAGGCAGGAGAAUUGCUUGAACCCAGGAGGUGGAGGUUGCUGUGAGUCAAGAUUGCACCACUGCACUCCAGCCUGGUGACAGAGCAAGACUCUAUCCCCGCCCAAAAAAUUUUCCUGUUGGUAGUCUCAUUUUGUUCAUAAAUUGUUUUCCUAAUUUUAUUUAGUUGUGUGUGUUCUAUUUUAGCUUAUGAGCAUAUUUAAGAUACUUGUGUUUUCAUUUUGUUUUGAGACAAAGUCUUGUUCUGUCGCCCAAGCUGGAGUGAAUCGGUGCAAUCUUGGCUCACUGCAACCUCUGCCUCCCAGGUUCAAGCGAUUCUCAUGCCUCAGCCUCCAGAGUAGCUGGGACUACAGGCAUAUGCCACCAUGCCCAACUAAUUUUUGUAUUUUUAGUAGAGGCAGGGUUUCACCAUGUUGGACAGGCUGGCCUCAAUUCCUGGCCUCAAGUAAUCCACCCACGUUGGCCUCCCAAAGUACUAAGAUUACAGGCAUGAACCACCACGCCCAGCCUGACAGUUACUUACAUUCUUUGUCAAGUAAGUCAGAGGUCUGUGUUCUUUAGGAUUGAUUUCUGGAGAUUUAUUUUGUACCUUUGAAUAGACUAUGUUUCAUUGUGUAUACCUUGUGAUCUUUUGUUGAGGUACGGUUAUUUGAAGAAACACCCACCUCUUCCCGUCUUUACCAGAUGGCUUUGUGCAGGAGAAUACCUUCACUAAUCACCCAGCUUAAAGCCUCAGGGUCUUCUUAAACCUUUUCUAGGGCUGUGUCUUCCCUGGGACCAUGUGUUUAUUUGUAUUUAUUUGUGUUUACUUGAAUUGCACUUAGGUGUCACCUGCAUUCCUCUUCCUGUAAUCUAUUGACCCAAAGCAUCCAUGCAUCUGGGAGCUGCCUGCUAUUAUAGUGCACCAGAGCACUCCCCUUCUGCUUUGCAGCUUCUAACCAUGUUCCUGUCAGUGCUCUGAGUCAGGAGAGACAGAAAUUAGUCCCUUAAGCAGCCUUCAGAUGAGCCAGAAAGUUACAAGCUCCACCUUUCCCUUUUCUCCCAAGGGAGAAACUGGGAAUGAGGCAGUUUCCUUUGAUAAUGCCAUGCUGCACCAGGGACAAGGUGGAGCAAGGGUGAGCAACAUUCCAUGAAAUUUCCUACAACUUUGAGUGUGACUUGUUUAGAGUUUUUAUGAGACAUUUUGGUCUGAAUAUUGUUUAUUCAUUGUUUUCCCAGGGAAACAAGAGCCUGAAGCUUCCUAAUUUGCCAUCUUGCUGACGUCACUCCUCGAAUCUCUCUUGUUUAAAACUUAAUGUUGUUUCAUAUUGCUGAUUAAAAUUAGUAAGAUAAAGAGAAGGAAAUCCAAAUAGCAUAGUAUGGCAUGAAAUUAAAAAUAAAAGUCUCCUUAUCCACUUCCCAAACCCCAUUCCCACUUCCUAAGGAUAACUACUUAUAGCCAUUUGUCUUUUGAAGUCUUCUGAGGGUUACUUCCUUUAUUUUAAAUAAUGUAAGUAUACCUUCAUUUCUUGAUUCACCAACUUUGAAUUGUACAAAUGAUUUUAUACACCAAAAGAUGAGGCUUUUAGUAGACUUAUCCUCCUUCUUCCAGUUUUUGUUAUAUUUUGACAUCUAAGUAUCUCACCUGUUAGAACUUCAAAUGAUAUUUUAAACAUACAUGCAUUGAGAGAGUUCAUGAGUUUUGAAUAUAUAUAUAAAGGAGAUUGACACUCAUAUUCCCCUCCAUUUCUUUAACCUGAAACCAUCUUCUAAAUUUUGUUUUCUAAAAUUUACAUUUUUUCUGACUAUAGUAUUUUAUGCUUUCACUUAAGAAGGUAAAUAUAUUUUUAAUUCAUUGUACAAACAAGAUAUGAGCUCUCAGUGAAAUGCUGUAUUUGUCUCUAAAGCCAUCCCUCUAAAACGACAUUUCCUUUCUUAAAUUUUACAGAACAUAUUUACUGAGUGCCUCCUGCAUGGCCCAUCCUGUUCUAGGUACUUCGAGUAUACUCAUUAAUUGCUCAAAAUAAUAUUACAUCUUUGGACUUUUUGGGUUUAGACAAACAUAUCUAGAAUUGUCUUCCCUUUUUGUUUGUUGAUGGUAAAAUGUGUGAUACAGAUAUUUGUCCCCAACCAUAACUCAUGUUGAAUUGUAAUCCCCAGUGGUGAAAGUGGGGUUCUGUGGGAGGUGUUUGGGUCAUGGGGGUGGAUCCCUCAUGGCUUGGUGCUGUCAUUGCAAUAGUGAGUUCUUGUGAGAUUUGGUCAUUUAAAAGUGUGUGGCACCUGACCAGGCGUGGUGGCUCACGCCUGUAAUCCCAGCACUUUGGGAGGCCCAGGCAGGCAGAUCACCUGAGGUCAGGAGUUGGAGAUUAGCCAGGCCAACAUGGUAAAAACCUAGUCUCUACUAAAAAUACAAAAGUUAGCCAGGUAUGGUGGCGUGUGCCUGUAGUCCUAGCUACUUGGGAGGCUGAGGCAGGAGAAUCCUUUGAACUCAGGAGGUGGAGGUUACAGUGAGCUGAGAUGGUGCCACUGUACUCCAGCCUGGGCAACAGAGCAAGACUCUGUCUCAAAAAAAGAAAAAAAGGUGUGUGGCACCUCCCCCACUACUCUGUCUCUUGCUCAUGCUCUGGCCAUGUGACGCCCCGGAAGUUGAGCAGAUGCUAGCAUCAUGCUUCCUAUAAAGCCUGCAGAAUUGUGAGGCAAUUAAACCUCUUUUCUUUAUACCCAGCAUCGGGUUAUUUCUUUAGAGCAAUGCAAGAAGGUCUAACACAAUGUGUUAACUAUAUUUCUGACAUCUCAGCUUCAGUGUCACUGUCUCAGCAUGGUGAUAUUUUAAACUACAAUUCCUCCCCUACAUCACCAGUUGUUUAUCCAGAUCACUUAUAAUUUUCUAAUCUGUUGUAUAAUUCACGUAUUUAUUUGGCCUAAUGUCUUUCUGCAUCCCCAUCACUAGACAAAAACUCUUGGAGGAUUAAGAAAUUUGUUCACUGCUGUGUCCUCAGUGUCUAAACAGUACUUGGCCACAUAGUGCUCAAUAAAAAUGUUUUGAAUGCAUGUUAUCUUCCUGCUAUUGAAUGGUAUCCAUUUAAUCAUGCUUCUUGUAAACAAAAUCUCUCAUUGUUUAAUUUAUGCCUUCUAGGUUGGCUUCAGACCUAGAAAUCCUGAGAUUUCUAAUUUUAUUACUAGAUUUGUUCUCUAUUCUUUCAGUGCUUUUGGGACCGGUGUGUGAAAAGUAAAGCCAUUCAUUGCUAAUCAUCUUUGUUUUGCCAUCUUACUUCAUUGAGAAUACGGCUGUAGACUGAAUUCUAUUUCAAAAUAAGUCUUCUGCAGAGUCUGAGGGGAGUGCUCCAUUAUAUUUCAGACCACAGUAUUGCUGCUGAGAAAUCUGGUAAUCUUCAAAAGUUGAAGGAAUAAUCAGAAAAAUAGUAUUUCCCAGAGCUGAAUACACGAGUCUUCAGAACAAAAUGUCCUUGAGGGCUGUGAAGUGAGAAAGUAUAAAUGUAAAAACAACUUUUUUGAAAUUUAAAACACAAAAAAUGAAGAGACUAUUUAAAAAAAAAUCUUUUUCCUUUGAAAAUUUUCCUUGAUUCUCUGUAAAACUCCCAUUAAUCACAGAUGGGACCACCUGACCCUCCACUUCCUUUACCUUCUCAUCCCUCAUCACUCACUAGAAUGAGUAUUUCCUACCUUUUUUUUUUUUUUUUUCUGAGAUGUAGUGUCGCUCUGUCACCCAGGCUGGAGUGCAGUGCCGUGAUCUUGACUCACGUUGUAUACAACCUCUGCCUCCUGGGUUCAAGUGAUUCUCCUCCCUCAGCCUUCUGAGUAGCUGGGAUUACAGGCAUGCACAACCACGCCUGGAUUUUUGUCUUUAGUAGAGAAAGCGUUUUACCAUGUUGGUCAGGCUGGUCUGGAACUCCUGACUUCAUGAUCCACCUGCCUCGGCCUCCCAAAGUGCUGGCAUUAUAGGCAUGAGCCACCAAGCCCGGCUGUUAAAUUCUUUUUUAAAAGAGACAGACAGGGUUUUGCUACGUUGCCCAGGAUGGACUCAACUCCUGGGCUCAAGUGAUCCAUCUGCCUCAGCCUCUAGAGUAGCUGGACUAUAGGCAUGUGUCCACAUGCCCAGCUGAUAUUUUUCUAAAAUGUCUAUCUGACCACACUAGUUUCCUACAGGAUUAUCAGAUUGAAAAAAGGGAAGAAGGGAGAAAGGACUACUUGUUUCUGUUUCUGGCUUUAGGAGUAGCAGAUCCUUUUAUGCUAUUGGCCUAGAUGGUCUGUGGCCUUAAUUACAUUGUGCAGAUUGGAUGUGGCUGCAUUUACAGAGGGACAGUCCAGUCCAGUCACUUAGGUACACUUACACUGUACCUAUCCAAGCAGCAAAAAUCAGGUGAGCAAAACAUACACUUGUGAAAAAUGAGAAUAGGACACAAGUGGACAUUAUGGACAUUGGAAAGACUGAAAGUUACCCCAUUUGGAAUUUGCAUGGUUUUACAAAAAGACAGAAGCAGAGUGAUUUUUGCCUCCUUUGCAGAAUUUCUGAAAAGAAAAACACUAGUUUUUGGAGAAACCCAAAAACAGCGGCCAAAAUGUUCAGCAGAGGCUCUGGGGGGAAGGCAUGUUGUCUAAGGAAAAGGACUCUGCCAGCUUACACAUUUAUUUGGAAGACACAGACUUAAAAAGGAUUAAUAUAUUUAUGUAAAACUUAAAGCAAUGGUAAGAAACCGGUAACUAGGUGAGGCUCUGAAGAUUUUGAAAGAAGUGUCUUGCUUGCUGUUCCUUUAAGGUAGAAAAACAAAACAUAUUCAUAUGCUUAGGAAUUCUUUCUGGGCCCCCAAGGCAGGUACUCAGCUGCAUUUAACAGUCUAAACCUAUUGAAUCCAGGAGUUCUAGUGAGUUUUAACAGCUUUGAUGAACUCCAUAGCUCAGAUUUACAAAAUAGAAAAUUUAGGGGUUAGAAUGAAGCACUGCUUUACUUUUCUGCUAACAUUAUCUUCUAAUGAGAUGAAAAGCAGCUUUCUUCAAUAUCAAGAUCACCAUUCUUUGAGCACUUCCUUGUAAGGUCCCAGAUCAAACACUUGAUCUUAUUCAGGAAGAAGUAACUUUUUUCUUUAGUAAAUAAGAUUUUUUUCUUCAUCUAGGCAUCAAAGGCAAGCCAGAUAGAACAUUAAGAUGAUGGGCAUUAAAAGGAUGAGGGUAGGGGUCAAAAUGAGCCUUGAAGUUGCAGGUAUCUACAAAAAAGUUUUUUUGUUCUUCCUGCAUUGUUUUCAAAGAUUCAGGCUCUUGCUCUGUAACUCAGGCUCAAGUGCAGAGGCCACAUCAUAGCUCAAGCUCACUGUAACCUUGAACUCCUAGGCUCAAGGAACCCUAGGGGAAAGUAUUAAAGGCAAACCCUCACAGUCUGAGAAACAUUAUAAAAACCAAAUGUUAAGGUGCCAAAACAUAAAAAGUCAGAUGAAGAGGAGUCAUUUAAUGGUUUCAGUUCUUACUGGACAAUUCUGGACGGAGACAAUAAAUACAAGGUAAAAUUUCAACUAUGUCUUUUAAGUUUGUGAAUAGUGUACUUUAAGCAGAGGGCACAGAAUUUCCUUAUCAAUUUUGUAUAUUUUUGCAUCUUCAUAAAUACCAGCAAUUUCCACCAGACUAUCUCUCUGACAUUUUAUAGACUUGUCUUUUUUUGUGAUUAUGUGCCCCUCCUUCAUUGUUUUAUGCAUAUCCUUUAAAAACACGAGCUCACAGUAUAAUUGCUCUUGGUCUACUUUAGUUGGAAUGUCAUAGGACUGUCUGAAUUUUAUUUUGCAAAGAACUUCAAGCCAAUUUCCUUUUAGAGUCUUUGGACAUGGGAUAAGGACAAAAGUUACCAGAACUUUUGAAAUACCCUUUCCCAAUAUUUAUCUUGAUGUUUUUUCUAUUUUUAGAAUUUGUGGCAAUUCUCAUGAGACCUAACUCAUCUAUUCUCAGUAUUCGACCAGCAAAACACCUCACUUACCUGUGCACAUGAUCUAAUGCAAGGAAGCAUCUCUAAUGGGUUUUAUCUGAAAGAGUUUCACCAUGUUGUCCAGGCUGGUCUCAAACUAUCCACCCACCUCCACGUCCACCUCCAAAAGUGCUGGGAUUACAGAGGUGAGCCACUGCACCUGGCAUAAAUGUUUUAUUAGUCCUACUUCUAUCCAUUUAAAUUUCAUUCUGACUAGGCAUUUGUUAAAUUAAAGGGUGAAUUGUGAAGUUAAAGAUUACAAUGACAGAAAUUUAAAUUCUCUUUUAAAUUAAAAAGUUUUUAGUUGUUUUUUGUAUGAUAGGAGUCAUAACUGAAAAUAUAAGAAUGAAAAAAGAUGCUCUAACUGAAUUCUGGUAAAUAAUUCCUUGAAAGAAAAGAAAAACUGAAGAAAUUUAAAGAAAAGACCAACCAGGAUUGAAAGAAAACAUUUAUUGAAUCAAAAUCAAUACUUUCUUUUUAAUAUCUACAAGCCAACACGGAACUCAUUUUAUUCAAGAAUGAACACAAUGUACAAAAAAAGUAUGCUUAUAUUAUAAAAAUAUGUCAAUUUUAUCUUCUGGGUGCUCAGCAGAAGUCAUUUUAAACAAAAUCAAGGCAAACUUGUUCUCUAUAAUGAGUCUGCUAUAAUUUAACAACAAAGUGAAAGCUAAUGUAAUCAUAAAGUAUUUUAAAGGCCCACUGAUAAUGCUGCACUGGAAAUGCUAAACUCAGUAUUAACUAAAGUCAACAUUCCCGCUCUAUGCUUACUGGCACCACUUCAUGCCUACAUUAUGGGAAAAGUACCUAUUUUAUAGAAUGCAGAUCACUGCUAACAGAAUCCAUGUGAUUCAAUCUUCAGUUUCCCUUAACAGCAGUUGUUAGCAUAUAUUUCAGCAAAGAUUGAUUAACAGUAUAAUGAAUUUUGAGUAGUAAAAUCCUAUUUAAUUAGCUUCAAUUUAAAAAUGAGAUAUGCUGCUAUGGGGAACAGAUGACUUUUCGAGGUUUACAACCCCAUUUAUGAACAUGGGAAAGCUGCCUCCCUAAAAAAAGAUUUAUGUCCAAGGUUAAUACCCUAUCUUUUUUGGUAAUUUUUCUUGUUUCUUGAUUUUAUUGGCACCUCCCAGGCACUUUGGCAUGUGCUCCUGUAGGAAGUGUAGUUACUGUGCCUACAGAGUUAGUGGCAGCUACAGAGUAGUUACAGGCUGACGAGUCCACUUUUAGCUUACCAUGGAGAUCCGCUCCAAUACACGCUGGUCAUUGGAGCA